UACGAAGGGGGCUAGCGUUGCUCGGAAUCACUGGGCGUAAAGCGCACGUAGGCGGAUUGUUAAGUCGGGGGUGAAAUCCUGGAGCUCAACUCCAGAACUGCCUUCGAUACUGGCGAUCUUGAGUCCGGGAGAGGUGAGUGGAACUCCGAGUGUAGAGGUGAAAUUCGUAGAUAUUCGGAAGAACACCAGUGGCGAAGGCGGCUCACUGGCCCGGUACUGACGCUCAUGCACGAAAGCGUGGGGAGCAAACAGG
rnacentral:rRNA from 1 species